UACGGGGGGAGCAAGCGUUGUUCGGAUUUACUGGGCGUAAAGGGCGCGUAGGCGGCCAGCACAAGUCAGUUGUGAAAUCUCCGAGCUUAACUCGGAACGGUCAACUGAUACUGUGCGGCUAGAGUGCGGAAGGGGCAACUGGAAUUCUUGGUGUAGCGGUGAAAUGCGUAGAUAUCAAGAGGAACACCCGCGGCGAAGGCGGGUUGCUGGGCUGACACUGACGCUGAGGCGCGAAAGCUAGGGGAGCGAACGGG
rnacentral:rRNA from 1 species